AUUGAACGCUGGCGGCAGGCUUAACACAUGCAAGUCGAGCGGAGAUGAGGUGCUUGCACCUUAUCUUAGCGGCGGACGGGUGAGUAAUGCUUAGGAAUCUGCCUAUUAGUGGGGGACAACAUUCCGAAAGGAAUGCUAAUACCGCAUACGCCCUACGGGGGAAAGCAGGGGAUCUUCGGACCUUGCGCUCAUAGAUGAGCCUAAGUCGGAUUAGCUAGUUGGUGGGGUAAAGGCCUACCAAGGCGACGAUCUGUAGCGGGUCUGAGAGGAUGAUCCGCCACACUGGGACUGAGACACGGCCCAGACUCCUACGGGGGGCAGCAGUGGGGAAUAUUGGACAAUGGGCGGAAGCCUGAUCCAGCCAUGCCGCGUGUGUGAAGAAGGCCUUUUGGUUGUAAAGCGCUUUAAGCGAGGAGGAGGCUACCGAGAUUAAUACUCUUGGAUAGUGGACGUUACUCGCAGAAUAAGCACCGGCUAACUCUGUGCCAGCCGCCGCGGUAAUAC
rnacentral:rRNA from 1 species